rnacentral:rRNA from 1 species
UCCUGGCGUCAGGAUGAACGCUAGCUACAGGCUUAACACAUGCAAGUCGAGGGGCAGCGAGAAGGAAGCUUGCUUCUUGUCGGCGACCGGCGCACGGGUGAGUAACGCGUAUCCAACCUUCCCCUUAGUAGGGCAUAGCCCGUAGAAAUGCGGAUUAAUACCCUAUGUUGUUCGAUGCGGACAUCUAAGUUGAACCAAAGGUUUACCGCUAAGGGAUGGGGAUGCGUCUGAUUAGGCAGCAGGCGGGGUAACGGCCCACCUGGCCUACGAUCAGUAGGGGUUCUGAGAGGAAGGUCCCCCACAUUGGAACUGAGACACGGUCCAAACUCCUACGGGAGGCAGCAGUGAGGAAUAUUGGUCAAUGGGCGCGAGCCUGAACCAGCCAAGUAAGCGUGCAGGACGACGGCCCUAUGGGUUGUAAACUGCUUUUAUGCGGGGAUAAAGUGACGUACGUGUACGUUUUUGUAGGUACCGCAUGAAUAAGGACCGGCUAAUUCCGUGCCAGCCGCCGC